ACAGCUGUCCAUGAACAAAGGAAGCAGUUCCUCAUCAGACACUGAAUCUGGUGGUGCCUUGUUCUUGGACUUCCCAGCUACCAGGACUGUGAGAAAUAAAUGUCUGUUGCUUUAGCUAGCCGGUCAAUGGCAUUUUGCUAUAUCGGCCCAAACAGACUAAGAAUGUACAACACCAGGAGUGAAUCCUAAGGGGAACAGUGGAUUUUUGCUGAUCGUGAUGUGUCAAUGCUGGUUCAUCCUUGGGGAAAAAAAUGUACCAUUCUGCCACAUCAGAGAACUCGAAGAUGUAGAGUUGCAGUUUGGAAGCAGCCAUAAUCCUGGAAUCACUGUUGGAAGAGAGGCACCAUGGAAAGAUAUCUAAUCUACUUGUCCUGUAGCAUAAUUAAGAGAUAAACCUUUGCUGCAUUAAA